AUUGCCCCAGUAACGGCGAGUGAAGCGGCAACAGCUCAAAUUUGAAAUCUGGCCCCCAGGGUCCGAGUUGUAAUUUGCAGAGGAUGCUUUUGGCAAGGUGCCUUCCGAGUUCCCUGGAACGGGACGCCAUAGAGGGUGAGAGCCCCGUCUGGUUGGAUACCGAGCCUCUGUAAAGCUCCUUCGACGAGUCGAGUAGUUUGGGAAUGCUGCUCUAAAUGGGAGGUAUAUGUCUUCUAAAGCUAAAUAUUGGCCAGAGACCGAUAGCGCACAAGUAGAGUGAUCGAAAGAUGAAAAGCACUUUGAAAAGAGGGUUAAAUAGUACGUGAAAUUGUUGAAAGGGAAGCGCUCAUGACCAGACUUGGGCCCGGUGAAUCAUCCAGCGCUCGUCGCUGGUGCACUUUGCCGGGCUCAGGCCAGCAUCAGUUCGCUCCGGGGGACAAAGGCUCUGGGAAUGUGGCUCCUCCGGGAGUGUUAUAGCCCACUGCGCAAUACCCUGGGGCGGACUGAGGUUCGCGCAUUCGUGCAAGGAUGCUGGCGUAAUGGUCAUCAGUGACCCGUCUUGAAACACGGACCAAGGAGUCGUCUUCGUAUGCGAGUGUUCGGGUGUAAAACCCCUACGCGUAAUGAAAGUGAACGCAGGUGAGAGCUUCGGCGCAUCAUCGACCGAUCCUGAUGUUCUCGGAUGGAUUUGAGUAAGAGCAUACGGGGCCGGACCCGAAAGAAGGUGAACUAUGCCUGUAUAGGGUGAAGCCAGAGGAAACUCUGGUGGAGGCUCGCAGCGGUUCUGACGUGCAAAUCGAUCGUCAAAUAUGGGCAUGGGGGCGAAAGACUAAUCGAACCUUCUAGUAGCUGGUUUCCGCCGAG
rnacentral:rRNA from 1 species